AGCUUGAUUUAGGAAUAUGGGUUUACCGCAGAACUCUAGCUCUUCCAAUCAACCGUUAUUACCUCGAAAGGUAUAACAACUCAACAAGACCUUAUAUUGUCUCCAAUUCUAUAUGUUACGUUAUGCUGUUAUAAACAGAAGAAACGGUGUAUCUGCUGUUGAAUAAGUUUUUGCAUUCUUAUCACUUGGAUGUAUUAUUAC